GUACAGUGUGAAUGCCCCACGUUGUGCAAUGUGGUGGCUCUGCUUAGCUCUGUGAGCACCUCACCUCACAUAGUUUUGUGAGGGUGCAAGCAGGUGUCUGCACAGAGACUUUGUGAGCAGAGCAGGAAGUGCAAGUCAGAUACCUGCGGCCCUAAGCGUUCCAUCCCUGCCUUUCCACAGGAUGUCGCCUUGAUGGCAAAUCUUCCAAGCAUCACCAGGAUUAGCCAAGACCUGGCUGGCAGAACCGAACACUCUCAGAAGGGUGGUUUUCUGCCCUUUGCUACAUGACGGGGCUCAUCAUUGCCCUGCGGGGAAGUUGUAUGGAUGCUGGGCUCGCUUCCCUAACCCCAGACGCUUCCAAGCAGGCUUGGAGGAUGCAAGCCUCUUAUGCUUUUGGUUUCCGUUGGAGCCACUGUCUCACACGGCCGGGGAGUGCCUGGGAAAAUGAUGCAGCCCUCCUGCCCCACCGUCCUCCCGGAAAGUGGGGCAUUCGUCCUGGGUGGCUCUGGGAAGUUUGCCGUCCUGCUGAUGCAGAGAGAGAAGACCCCCGGACACCACUGGGUGAUUUCCAGGGGCUACAGAGGCCUGGUGCCCGAAAGCAGCUCUCCUGGAUGGCUGGUCACUGCAGAGAAGCAGAACCCCCUGCAGCGAGCCCCCACCCUGAGCAGGGCACGGGUGGGGGAGGGGACGGUCCCUUCAGCAUCUUUACAAAGGAAGGUCUGGGCAGGAGUCAAGUUGGACGGGACAGAGAUGCUGAGAGGUCAAGAUGGUCUGAUACUAUCUCAAAUGUGGGGGGCAGGUGUGCAGAUGGCGAUGAAGAAGGUCCCUGGUGGUCGGGGACUGAGCCACCCCUCAGGUCUAACCCAUGGAGCCACAUGGGAAUGCAACCCGGGGCUGAAAAGAAUAUCUGAUCUUUCCACAGAAACUGGAAACCCUGAUUUUAUGUGGCGUCUCCCCAUUUUCAAUAAAACAUUCACGACGAAUUUAAUUUACAAACAACAGUCUAUGCCAGCCAGACGAAUAUAUCUGCUGACCGGAUGCGGCCCUCGGGCUGGUGUUCAGCUUUGUCUAGGAGGCAAUGACUCUGCAAGGGGCGAGCCGAGCUGAGUCAGACACGUGCCCUCUGGUGGACAGCCCCCCAGGCCGAGGCUGGAGGCCGUUGGAGGCAGAACCACCAGGGACACAGGCCGGGGUCUUGAGCCAAGGGGGGUCUUGGCCUUGGGUUGGCCCACGCUGCCCUGGGGAGCGUCCUUGGCGAGGAGCCUUCAUUUAUUCUUUCAACAAAUAUUGUGGACUCUGCCAUGCGCCGGGCCCCGGGAUGUGGUAGUCUAUUUACUUUCUGUGGCUGUCAUAUCCAAUCACCGCAGACUUGGUGGCUGAAAACAAUAGAAAUGCCUUCUCACAGUUGUAAAGACCAGAAGUCAGGAGUCAGCCAGUAUCGCUGGGCUGGAAUCCAGGCGUGGCAGGGGCUGGGCUCCCUCCGGGGACUCUGGGGAGAGUCUUUCAGUUUCAGGUGGCUGCCAACAUUCCAGUGUGUGGCCGCAUCACUCCCAGCCCUGUCUCUGUGGUCACAUAG
ensembl:lncRNA